rnacentral:lncRNA from 1 species
UAUUUUUAAACAUAUAGAUUAGAUAUUUUAUUUUUCAUACAACUUUGUAUUACAUACAACAAACCUAAGGUUUCAAGAUCUAAGAUUUUAUAGAAAAAUAAAUUCUUCCUUUCAUAUUUUUCUUUAUAGGAUUUAAUCAUAUGGCACCCCUACAUGCUAUAAGAGCACCCCAUCGAAUGAAAAGAAAGGGCCUUUAAACCCUUCUUAC